CAUUCUGAGGGAGAAGAAUGUAAAAGCAUUCGCUGAAGACUCGUCAGAGCUCUUCUUUCAUCUUCGAGAAAAAAAAUCAUGACUACCUCUUAAUGACUUUUCUUGAUGUGACUGAGAGACAACCACAGUCCACGGAAGAGACUAAAUUAAUUUGCUAAGUAAAUGAUUGUGUAUAAUACGAUAGCACCUGGAGAUCUCAAUUAAUUAUCACUAUCAAUACUGUGUUACACACUGUAUGAAGUCACAGUAAAACACAGUUCCUAUCCUAAAUACGUCAAAGCAUGGCCAUCAAGCAUCCUUCCUUUUAUCUUAUUUUUUUCUUCCACUUCAUCUGAUAGGCACAGAGAGGGAUGAAUGAAGCACACAAGUACUGAUGAUUGGCUGGACUUGUUCGCAACAGCUGCAGGAGGGGUUGCCAAAUCUGGCUUCAUCUCCCUGAACAUUUCCAUGAAAACUGAACUGCUGUUGCCAAGGAAAUAAUCCAUUUCUGCUGGUUAGUCACCCUCCGCCAUCACAAGUGACUUCAGAGCAAAUCUGUUCAUG